GGAUGGCGCAAAAGGCCAGGCCAUCCCGGAAGGAGCUGCUGAGGUCGCGGAUCUCUACGCCGGGGUAGCCCUCGCAUUGGCGGCGGCACCAGGCCUGCAAGGCGCUGCGGGGACCCGACAUCGGGGCGGAGGAGAGAUAAAGGAGGCACCCAGAACACCCAUGGUGAAAAGGGAAUAAUUAAAAAGACAACUACUUCUGAAAAGUGACAGUAUUAAUUCAGUGGUGUUUGGAAAACUAGUGCUUAGUCCAAGAAUUUUCCUGGGAAGACCAUGCAAAUACUGGUCAGACCAGAGAGACUGGAAUGAAGAGACAAGCAACAUAGGUGUGGAAGGGUGUGUUCCUUGGUGCUGUUCCAGAGUCUUGACUUAAGGCACACAUGAUUUUUGGCUUAAACUUCAUCAGCAUUUCAACAAUUGGACAGUGUUGAUGCGGCUGCGUGCUCUGAAUUCCUUCAGCUUCAGCUGGUGCCAGGCACAGGCUAUGACAGAGCUUGUCCUUCUGCCCUCUGCAAAGAGCAACUGAUCCAAUUUCUUUCCAGGAGAUCAACUGUAGUGAGUGGAGUGAACCUGCACUAACCCUUCAGCAACACCAGGACUCAUGCUGGCUACAGUAUACAACACAUGAUCUAUGCAUUCCUAGUGAUUUAUCAGGAAACAUUACCAGGUGCUAACCUCCUACCAAGCCUACAGAUGAAGACACAGUCAUAGAUAGCUUCACAGAACUGGUUUCCACUGCGGAAAGAUGAAACAGACCGCUUGUGUUGCUUCAGUAAUUUAGUUUUAUCAAUGUAAUAAACCUUCCUCAACACUGGAGGUUAUACCACAAGAUGCAACUAGAAAUAGAUGUCUUCUGCAAUUACUCCCAAAUGGAGGAAGCUGGAAGGCCAGCCAUCUCUUCUUGAAGCAAGAAAUGAUUGCAUUGAGAACAUAUAGAGGACACAAAGGACAUAUAGAUAUUUGAAUUAUUUAAUUAGCUUUAUUAAUCCACUAUGAGAG